AAAAAGGUAAGCUAAAUAAGCUAAUGGGUUCAUACCCCGUCUAUAAAGGUCUCAACCCUUUCCUUUUUA
rnacentral:tRNA from 1 species